CCCACUGAAUUUAAGCAUAUUACUAAGCGGAGGAAAAUAAACUAACCAGGAUUCCCUCAGUAAUGGCGAGUGAAGAGGGAAGAGCCCAGCGCCGAAUUUCCGCCCGUCCGGCGGGCGCGGGAAAUGUGGCGUACGGAAGACCGCCUCUCCCGGCAUCGACCAGGGGCUUGAGUCCUUCUGAUCGAGGCUCAGCCCGUGGACGGUGUGAGGCAGGUAACGGCCCCCGUCACGCUGGGGUCCGGUCUUCUCGGAGUCAGGUUUUUUGUGAAUGCAGCCCAAAGUGGGUGGUAAACUCCAUCUAAGGCUAAAUACCGGCACGAGACCAUUAGCCGACAAGUACCAUAAGGGAAAGUUGAAAAGAACUUUGAAGAGAGAGUUCGAGAGGGCGUGAAACUGCGGAGAGGUAAACGGGUGGGGUCUGCGCAGUCCACCCAGAGGAUUCAACCCGGUGGGUUCCGGUCAACCG
rnacentral:ncRNA from 1 species